rnacentral:rRNA from 1 species
AUUAGGCAAAUCCGGUACUCGUUAAGGCUGAGCUGUGAUGGGGAGAAGACAUUGUGUCUUCGAGUCGUUGAUUUCACACUGCCGAGAAAAGCCUCUAGAUAGAAAAUAGGUGCCCGUACCGCAAACCGACACAGGUAGUCAAGAUGAGAAUUCUAAGGUGAGCGAGCGAACUCUCGUUAAGGAACUCGGCAAAAUGACCCCGUAACUUCGGGAGAAGGGGUGCUCUUUAGGGUUAACGCCCAGAAGAGCCGCAGUGAAUAGGCCCAAGCGACUGUUUAUCAAAAACACAGGUCUCUGCUAAACCGUAAGGUGAUGUAUAGGGGCUGACGCCUGCCCGGUGCUGGAAGGUUAAGAGGAGUGGUUAGCUUCUGCGAAGCUACGAAUCGAAGCCCCAGUAAACGGCGGCCGUAACUAUAACGGUCCUAAGGUAGCGAAAUUCCUUGUCGGGUAAGUUCCGACCCGCACGAAAGGCGUAACGAUUUGGGCACUGUCUCAACGAGAGACUCGGUGAAAUCAUAGUACCUGUGAAGAUGCAGGUUACCCGCGACAGGACGGAAAGACCCCGUGGAGCUUUACUGUAGCCUGAUAUUGAAAUUCGGCACAGCUUGUACAGGAUAGGUAGGAGCCUUUGAAACGUGAGCGCUAGCUUACGUGGAGGCGCUGGUGGGAUACUACCCUAGCUGUGUUGGCUUUCUAACCCGCACCACUUAUCGUGGUGGGAGACAGUGUCAGGCGGGCAGUUUGACUGGGGCGGUCGCCUCCUAAAAGGUAACGGAGGCGCUCAAAGGUUCCCUCAGAAUGGUUGGAAAUCAUUCAUAGAGUGUAAAGGCAUAAGGGAGCUUGACUGCGAGACCUACAAGUCGAGCAGGGUCGAAAGACGGACUUAGUGAUCCGGUGGUUCCGCAUGGAAGGGCCAUCGCUCAACGGAUAAAAGCUACCCCGGGGAUAACAGGCUUAUCUCCCCCAAGAGUUCACAUCGACGGGGAGGUUUGGCACCUCGAUGUCGGCUCAUCGCAUCCUGGGGCUGUAGUCGGUCCCAAGGGUUGGGCUGUUCGCCCAUUAAAGCGGUACGCGAGCUGGGUUCAGAACGUCGUGAGACAGUUCGGUCCCUAUCCGUCGUGGGCGUAGGAAAUUUGAGAGGAGCUGUCCUUAGUACGAGAGGACCGGGAUGGACAUACCUCUGGUGUACCAGUUGUCGUGCCAACGGCAUAGCUGGGUAGCUAUGUGUGGACGGGAUAAGUGCUGAAAGCAUCUAAGCAUGAAGCCCCCCUCAAGAUGAGAUUUCCCAACUUCGGUUAUAAGAUCCCUCAAAGAUGAUGAGGUUAAUAGGUUCGAGGUGGAAGCAUGGUGACAUGUGGAGCUGACGAAUACUAAUCGAUCGAAGACUUAAUC